CGAAAGCCUGACGGAGCAAGACCGCGUGAGGGAGGAAGGCUCUUGGGUUGUAAACCUCUUUUCUCAGGGAAGAAGCUCUGACGGUACCUGAGGAAUCAGCCUCGGCUAACUCCGUGCCAGCAGCCGCGGUAAUACGGAGGAGGCAAGCGUUAUCCGGAAUUAUUGGGCGUAAAGCGUCCGUAGGUGGUUAAUCAAGUCUGCUGUUAAAGAGCGGAGCUCAACUCCGUUUAAGCGGUGGAAACUGGUUGACUAGAGAGUGGUAGGGGUAGAGGGAAUUCCCAGUGUAGCGGUGAAAUGCGUAGAUAUUGGGAAGAACACCGGUGGCGAAAGCGCUCUACUGGGCCACAUCUGACACUGAGGGACGAAAGCUAGGGGAGCG
rnacentral:rRNA from 1 species